rnacentral:rRNA from 1 species
CCAAUAGCGUAUAUUAAAGUUGUUGCAGUUAAAAAGCUCGUAGUUGAAUUUCGGGGUCAGCAGGUUGGUCGUGCCAAUGGUAUGAACUGGCCUUGCUGAUUCCUCCCUCUUGAUGAGCCGUAAUGCCAUUAAUUUGGUGUUGCGGGGAAUCAGGACUGUUACUUUGAAAAAAUUAGAGUGUUUAAAGCAGGCAAGCGCUUGAAUACAUUAGCAUGGAAUAAUGAAAUAGGACGUUUGAUCUUAUUUUGUUGGUUUCUAGGAUUGACGUAAUGAUUAAUAGGGAUAGUUGGGGGCAUUAGUAUUCAAUUGUCAGAGGUGAAAUUCUUGGAUUUAUUGAAGACUGACUACUGCGAAAGCAUUUGCCAAGGAUGUUUUCAUUAAUCAAGAACGAAAGUUAGGGGAUCGAAGACGAUCAGAUACCGUCGUAGUCUUAACCAUAAACUAUGCCGACUAGGGAUCGGAUGAUGUUAAUUUUUUAAUGACUCAUUCGGCGCCUUACG